AGAGAGAGACAUGCGCGCAUAUCAAUAAGCGGAGGAAAAGAAACUAACAAGGAUUCCCCUAGUAACGGCGAGUGAAGCGGGAAGAGCUCAAAUUUGAAAUCUUAAAGGGUUUCCCUUUACGAAUUGUAGUUUAAAGAAGUGUUUUCUGUUGGGGUUUUGGUAAAAGUUCUUUGGAAUAGGACAUCAUAGAGGGUGAGAAUCCCGUAUUUGACCUUUACUUUCAACUUUGUGAUACACUUUCAAAGAGUCGGAUUGUUUGGGAAUGCAGUCCAAAAUGGGUGGUAAAUUUCAUCUAAAGCUAAAUAUUGGCGAGAGGCCGAUAGCGAACAAGUACCGUGAGGGAAAGAUGAAAAGAACUUUGAAAAGAGAGUUAAACAGUACGUGAAAUUGUCAAAAGGGAAGCGUUUGACACCAGUGUUGUUUUUCUGAAAAUCAAUUAAAGAACUGUUUAUGCUAAGCUGUUUAGACUUUAUCAGCUAACUGUUUAGUUUUGAGCUUUUCUUUAAUGCACUUUUCAGUUAACAAGUCAACAUCAAUUUCUUUUGCUGUAAAAAAGCUUGAGGAAGGUGGCUUGAGAUUCGUCUUAAGUGUUUAUAGCCUCUUGCCUAUGCAGUCGGAGAGAUUGAGGUCUGCAGCGUAGAUCCUUCGGGGCUAAAUGCAUUUGUGCUAAGUUAUAGCCUUUCAUAGACAACUUGUUGACUAUGAUCUAGUCAUGUAGCUUACUCGCUUAUGCUAUUUUACCUACGCUUAGGAUGUUGAGCGCAUGUCUCUCUCU
rnacentral:rRNA from 1 species